ensembl:snRNA U6 U6 spliceosomal RNA
UGACUUCAGCAGUACAUAUACCAAAAUUGGAAAGAUACAGAAAAAAUUAGCAUGAUUCCUGCAAAAGGAUGGCAGGAAAAUUCAUGAAACAUUUCAUGUCUUU